GGACCGACAGAAAAGCCGUUUGCAAUUGUGCCUGUCACAAUUUCCCUUGUAACCGAGAGGGGGAAAGUGCACAUCAUCAGUGCGCGCUCAGAAUUCAGAGUGACGAACAGAGACGAUGUUCCACCAAUGUCAGUAUCUGGAGACCGGAGAACGGGGCGACUCCACUCUCUUUGCACUGCAUCCAUCCAGAAUUCAGGAAAGAACGGAUUCGACUGAAAGAAGUGCAAAGCGCCCCAUGCUGGGAGAUGCCUCCUCGGAACGUGGAACCCGAGGUGAAUAGGAUUCCAAGAAGCCUUACUGGGAUUCUCCAGAAAAUUGCAGCACUGGGCAUUAAGAGGAAAUGUCAUUCAAAUGCGGCUCUGCGCACCAAAUGCUGGUGUAAUUCUCACCGCACAACAAAGGCCCCCGCGUGUCAGAGAAGAAUCCCGGUCCCUAAUUCAACGUGACGCGGCUGAAAGGUGUUCCAGCCGCUCCACAUGUUACCCAGAAACACCGGCUGCCCGAGGCAUCUUCGAAGGUAGCGUGUGAUCCGUGCCAUGGAGUCAGAUUCAGAAAACUUCAAAGCAGGCUGCUGGAGCUGGAUAAUCAUCACCUCGUCCCUGAUUCAGUCCAUGUUUUGUCCACAGGCGUUUUUAAGAGCUCCACUCUUCUUGUGCAAAAACCAAAAAACGCUGCAGGGCAAAGUCUGAGUCCAUGCUGCUUCUCAAUGGAAACUCUAAGGCAUUCCUUUCUGAUAACUAA